CGGACCUGUUAAGACACGAAAAAACCAGGUCGUGUCGUGUCGUGCUAACAGGACCGUGUCAGAAAUUGUCUGCUCUAGGUUCGUUACAGAUUACAAGUGUUUCCAAUUUUAUUCUUUAGUUCAUCUGAAAGAUUUUUCCUGUACAAAGUACAAUAGAAAAGAUCUACAGCUGGAAUUGAAGAGCACAAUGUGCGUUAGGCAAGGUCGUCUCUUGAGAAUGCUUGAGUACUGGUACUUGCACUUGCCAAUCGGCCCACACAGAUGAGGCAAUACUUUAAGCAGAGAUAUGCAAGCAAAAGCUACUUAUUUUCUGCUCAUGAAAAGAUGGGAACAAGCUUCCGUGAGUACGUUAUGCUAUUAAAAUGCUAACUGUGAAGGCUAACAUCUCUAUGUGAUGUUCUGGUUUUUGUUAUUAACCUUAUAUAGUUGUAUGGUCAUUUCCACGUUGUAUAAUGAUUCAUUUUACCCAGUUAUUGUAUAGGAAAUUAAUAGAAAGGCAGUUGCUAUUCAA